GUUCCUUUGGGGACAUCCGAUAAAAUUAGAACAAUACAAAAAAGAUUAACAUGACUUAUGCGCAAGAAUAACACGUACAAAUCGAGAAAUAGUGAAGAAAAAU